rnacentral:rRNA from 1 species
UAUAGUAGUUAUUUUCUUUAAACCUAAAGAAUUUGGCGGUAUUUUAGUCUAUUCAGAGGAAUUUGUCCCUUUAUCGAUAGUCCUCGUUUUAUCUUGCUUGAUUUGGUAAGUUCAGUAUGUAUAUCGCCGUUAUAAGCUUAUUUUUUGAGAAUUAAAAUUUGCUAAUUAUUUUAUUUUAUUAUAUUUCAGGUCAAGGUGCAGCUGAUAAUUAAGUGGUGAUGAAUUACAAUAUAAUUUAAAUAUAUGGAUUUGAUUAAGAAUAAUUUAGUCAUUGAAGGUGGAUUUGAUAGUAAUUUUGAUUAUAGUGUUAAUUUGAUUUAUAGCUCUAAAAUAAGUACACAUCGCCCGUCGCUCU